rnacentral:lncRNA from 10 species
GCUUCGGAUUCCAGGUGUGGCAGUGACUCCGCGCUCCACGUUUUGCAGGCUGCCACCGUGUCGGAGGCGAGGCGAGGAAGGGAGCUGGAAUAACAAAGGGAGGUAAUGGGGUAGAUUGGAUACCUCUGGGGUCUUGGAAGAAGCUAUGACUUAUUUACUGUCUACUAUGUGGUGGAUGGUGUUUGAAGUGAAUUGAAUUAGGGGACACCCAGCUGGCAUCUGCUGCAGAACUGAUGACUCGCUUGCUGGUGGGCAGAAAUCUCCAUAAUCUUUCUUUAGCAGAUGAGGUCACUGAGGCUCAGAGAGGCUGAAGCCACUUGCUCAGAGCCGCACAGCAAGCCCACCACCCUGAACCUCCAGAUUACCAACUCAGCAUUGUGUCCUGACAGUGUCAUCAUAGAUGGUCAACACCGUCACCUGGGCAGCACUGAAGCCCAGAGCGGGAGAGACUGGCUCAAGACCAUGGCCUCUCCUGGUCUGACAGUCUCAGAUGCAGUCAUGGAUGGCUUUCUGGAGGAGGUGGUACCUGGUCUGUGGGAAGUAGGGGUCAGCAUCCUGGUCUCUGGGAGCAUCUGCUCCAGAUGGUUUCCCUGGGGCCCCCAGAAGCAGGUGUUUGCGCUAACAGCUCUGCAAGCAGAGAGCUUCAGUGCAUGGCCCUUCUUGCCCUUGUUCCCAGGCACAUGCUGUUCCCCUGGGGCUGAAUACCCCACUUACUUGUAAAUCCCAGUGCUCUCCUGUUCAUUCUGCAGUGCCAGCACAAGUCUCCUCCUUGGGGAAGGCUUUCUGGACUUCCCAGCCCACUGGCCAUUGUUCCGUCUUGCAGGUGCCCCCUCAGGGUGCCUGCUGUAACCGUCACUCACAUAUCUCCCCCACCCAACAGAGGGCCUUGCUUUUGGUCCUGGACCUGCACCUUUGACUGUAUUCUUAGUGAUUUGUCCAAGCCCACCCUGGGAGAUAGGGGCGGUGCCAGGCUAGCACCCAGUUCUCCUGGGUUCUCUGAGAAAGUUCCUACCUUCUUCCCUGGCUCACAAGUAGUACUUAAGCAGUUUUGGUUGUUAAAGAAAAUACUGAAUUUAUUCUUCCAACCACUCAUAUAUAUAUAUAAAUCAGUGUUAUUGAGAAACAAUUUACAAAAUGCACCCAUUUUCACUGUACAGUUCAGUGAAUUUUAACAGGUGUGUACAGUGGUGUAAACACUGCCACACCCAAGAUAUCACACAUUUCCAUCACCCCUCAAAAUCUCCUCAUACCCCUUCCUGAUCAAUCCCUCUUCCUGCCUCAGGCAACAUUUGAUUUGAUUUUAUCAAUAUCGAUUAGUUUUGCAUGUUCUAGAAUGUCCUAUAAAUUGUGAUUAGGCAGUAUGUACUUUCUGUGUAGUGCCAUGCAUGUUGUAUCUUGCAUGAGUAGUUCGGCCCUUUGCAUUGCUGGGUAGUAUUCUGGAGAAUGGACAUUCCACAAUUUGUUUAUCUGUUCACCAAUUGAUAGAAUUUGGGUUAUUUCCAGUUUGGGGAUUUUAUGAAUAAAGCUGCUAUGAACAUU